GACGAACGCUGGCGGCGUGCUUAACACAUGCAAGUCGAGCGGUAAGGCUCCUUCGGGAGUACACGAGCGGCGAACGGGUGAGUAACACGUGAGCAAUCUGCCCUUCACAUCGGAAUAACUUCGGGAAACCGAAGCUAAUACCGAAUACGACCAUCGGAGGCAUCUCCUGAUGGUGGAAAGCUCCGGCGGUGGAGGAUGAGCUCGCGGCCUAUCAGCUUGUUGGUGGGGAACGGCCCACCAAGGCGACGACGGGUAGCCGGCCUGAGAGGGUGACCGGCCACACUGGGACUGAGACACGGCCCAGACUCCUACGGGAGGCAGCAGUGGGGAAUAUUGGACAAUGGGCGAAAGCCUGAUCCAGCAACGCCGCGUGAGGGAUGACG
rnacentral:rRNA from 1 species